UACGAAGGGAGCUAGCGUUGUUCGGAAUUACUGGGCGUAAAGGGCGCGUAGGCGGUUUAGUAAGUCAGAUGUGAAAGCCCUGGGCUCAACCCGGGAACUGCGUUUGAAACUACUAAGCUUGAAUUCGGGAGAGGUUGGUAGAAUUCCCAGUGUAGAGGUGAAAUUCGUAGAGAUUGGGAAGAAUACCCGUGGCGAAGGCGGCCAACUGGACCGACAUUGACGCUGAGGCGCGAAAGCGUGGGGAGCAAACAGG
rnacentral:rRNA from 1 species